AAUCAACGCUGGCGGCGUGCCUCAGACAUGCAAGUCGAACGCGAAAGGUUCCUUCGGGGACCGAGUAGAGUGGCGCACGGGUGAGUAACACGUAGGUAAUUUGCCUUUGGGUGGGGAAUAACUCAGGGAAACUUGAGCUAAUACCGCAUAAUGCAGCGGCUCGACAUCGAGACAGUUGUUAAAGCGGGGGAUUCGCAAGAACCUCGCGCCUAAAGAGAAGCCUGCGGCAGAUAGCUAGUUGGUAAGGUAAUGGCUUACCAAGGCGACGAUCUGUAACCGGCCUGAGAGGGCGGUCGGUCACACUGACACUGACAUACGGGUCAGACUCCUACGGGAGGCAGCAGUCGGG
rnacentral:rRNA from 1 species